rnacentral:misc_RNA from 1 species
GAGAGAGAGAUAGAGAGAGAGAGGGCAAAUUAUUGAAUAAUUUCCAAGAGAGAGAAAGAGAGGGAUUUGGUACUGGUUGAUGUAGUUUGGCCACUGUUAUAUAGGAAGAAAGAGGCUCUUAUUGAAUAAUUAGUAAAAUAAUUAAGCAAUAGUGUUUAUAAUAAUUAAAGGCCGAUGUAAACAUAUCUAAUUAAAGAAGAUAUAUUGAUUAGAAACCCUUUAACUCGCUCAAGAAUAAAGAUAGCUUUUGAAAUGCAUUUAUAUAGGGUUUCCCCUCAAAGCUUGCGGGUUUGUAUAGUAUUAUCGACACGGGCCAGCAAUGAG